CCACCCGCAGGGCAGAGGGGAGAGCAGGGAGGAGGUACCCCCACGGCAGGCCACCUCCCCCUCCCACUCAGCCCCAGAGGACCCAGCUGCCUGAAGUGGGUGAACAGGGCCCCCUCAGUGCCUGAUAAGGGCCAGCCCACGUCGUGCCCAAAAGCUCUGCUGCCCGGGACCCAGGUCAACAGAGGCACCCAGCAAGGGGGAAUUCCCCAAGCCAGACACUGCGGAGGCAGAGGACGCAAUCCCCACCAGCUCCUGGGACCCAUGGGCCGGGUCCCUUCCAGGCUUCUGCCCAGCUCCUCUUCUCCUGCCCCUGCCUCUGUCCAGGUGCUGCUAGGGCUUGGCUGCCCAACCCUGAUCAGAAAGAGCCGUGUCUGGCUGGGCAGUGGCUCAUGCUCGUAAUCCCAGCACUUUGGGAGGCCAAAGAGGAUGGAUCGUGUGAGCGCAGGAGUUCGGGACAAGCCUGGGUAAUGUGGUAAAACCCGGUCUAUACAAAAAAUACAAAAAGUAGCCGCGUAUGGUGACGUGCGCCUAUAGUCCCAGCUACUCAGGAGGCUGAGGUGGGAGGAUCACUUGAAGCCAGGAGGUCAAGGCCGCCAUGAGCUAAGAUCACAACACUGCACUCUGGCCUGGGCAACAGAGCAAGACCCUGUCUCAGAAAAAAAAAAAAAAAACCAUGGAUGUCUGAGCUGCAGGGCCUCCCACAUCCCUGAAUCCCAUUAACCAUCUCCCAAGUGAGCAGAGGGAGGCCAAGAGAGGGCAAGCAGGGGACCA
rnacentral:lncRNA from 1 species